UACGUAGGGUGCAAGCGUUAAUCGGAAUUACUGGGCGUAAAGCGUGCGCAGGUGGUUUUGUAAGUCAGAUGUGAAAUCCCCGGGCUUAACCUGGGAACUGCGUUUGAAACUACAAGGCUAGAGUGUGACAGAGGGGGGUGGAAUUCCACGUGUAGCAGUGAAAUGCGUAGAGAUGUGGAGGAACACCGAUGGCGAAGGCAGCCCCCUGGGUUAACACUGACGCUCAGGCACGAAAGCGUGGGGAGCAAACAGG
rnacentral:rRNA from 1 species